rnacentral:rRNA from 1 species
UAAUGCAAGUCGAGCGAACGGACGAGAAGCUUGCUUCUCUGAUGUUAGCGGCGGACGGGUGAGUAACACGUGGAUAACCUACCUAUAAGACUGGGAUAACUUCGGGAAACCGGAGCUAAUACCGGAUAAUAUUUUGAACCGCAUGGUUCAAAAGUGAAAGACGGUCUUGCUGUCACUUAUAGAUGGAUCCGCGCUGCAUUAGCUAGUUGGUAAGGUAACGGCUUACCAAGGCAACGAUGCAUAGCCGACCUGAGAGGGUGAUCGGCCACACUGGAACUGAGACACGGUCCAGACUCCUACGGGAGGCAGCAGUAGGGAAUCUUCCGCAAUGGGCGAAAGCCUGACGGAGCAACGCCGCGUGAGUGAUGAAGGUCUUCGGAUCGUAAAACUCUGUUAUUAGGGAAGAACAUAUGUGUAAGUAACUGUGCACAUCUUGACGGUACCUAAUCAGAAAGCCACGGCUAACUACGUGCCAGCAGCCGCGGUAAUACGUAGGUGGCAAGCGUUAUCCGGAAUUAUUGGGCGUAAAGCGCGCGUAGGCGGUUUUUUAAGUCUGAUGUGAAAGCCCACGGCUCAACCGUGGAGGGUCAUUGGAAACUGGAAAACUUGAGUGCAGAAGAGGAAAGUGGAAUUCCAUGUGUAGCGGUGAAAUGCGCAGAGAUAUGGAGGAACACCAGUGGCGAAGGCGACUUUCUGGUCUGUAACUGACGCUGAUGUGCGAAAGCGUGGGGAUCAAACAGGAUUAGAUACCCUGGUAGUCCACGCCGUAAACGAUGAGUGCUAAGUGUUAGGGGGUUUCCGCCCCUUAGUGCUGCAGCUAACGCAUUAAGCACUCCGCCUGGGGAGUACGACCGCAAGGUUGAAACUCAAAGGAAUUGACGGGGACCCGCACAAGCGGUGGAGCAUGUGGUUUAAUUCGAAGCAACGCGAAGAACCUUACCAAAUCUUGACAUCCUUUGACAACUCUAGAGAUAGAGCCUUCCCCUUCGGGGGACAAAGUGACAGGUGGUGCAUGGUUGUCGUCAGCUCGUGUCGUGAGAUGUUGGGUUAAGUCCCGCAACGAGCGCAACCCUUAAGCUUAGUUGCCAUCAUUAAGUUGGGCACUCUAAGUUGACUGCCGGUGACAAACCGGAGGAAGGUGGGGAUGACGUCAAAUCAUCAUGCCCCUUAUGAUUUGGGCUACACACGUGCUACAAUGGACAAUACAAAGGGUAGCGAAACCGCGAGGUCAAGCAAAUCCCAUAAAGUUGUUCUCAGUUCGGAUUGUAGUCUGCAACUCGACUACAUGAAGCUGGAAUCGCUAGUAAUCGUAGAUCAGCAUGCUACGGUGAAUACGUUCCCGGGUCUUGUACACACCGCCCGUCACACCACGAGAGUUUGUAACACCCGAAGCCGGUGGAGUAACCUUUUAGGAGCUAGCC